rnacentral:tRNA from 1 species
GGCGCCGUGGCCAAGUGGACUAAGGCAGUGGAUUGCAAAUCCACCAUUCGUGGGUUCGAAUCCCACCGGCGCCU